rnacentral:lncRNA from 1 species
AGAAAAUGGAAGCCUAGGAUUUGCACUAGUUGGCGGCAGAAAUGGCAGGGCUAUCCUAAUAAAAGCCAUCAGCCCAGACAGCAUCGCAGAUCUAGAUGGGAGGCUUCAAGUUGGUGACAUCUUACUUAAGGUAAAUGAGACUUUAGUGUCUGGUCUGCCACGCCAAACAGUUAUAGAUUUGCUGCGUAAGGCUCAAGGCACUGUUCAGCUCACUGUCUGCCGAAGCGUAGCUUCACGUUGGGCUUACUCAAGCAGCCAGAGAAACAGUAUACCUUCCCCUCCAAACACAAACACAGAGCCUGGGUCCAGAAAGUACACACUGUCCCCCUUUGCAAGGUCAGAUGGCUGGACAAGAUUAUCAGGGUAUCAUCAGUAACACUUCAG